ensembl:lncRNA
AUGUUACACAUACAGGAUUUUUUUCAAAUGUGUGUAUCUGUUGAUCAGUCUGUUAUGGUGCGUUCACACCAAAAGCGAAGCGAAUAUUCCCCCCCUGCUUCAGUAAAGCGGGUUAUAUCGUUCUAUCCGCACACAAUUAGAGUUUCGGCGACUCCUCCAGGUGCGUCUGGUGGCUUCCAGCGGUGCUUCAGGCGGUCUGAUGACCUGUUGUGUCGGAUCGGCGCGUCUCUCGGUCACACACUAACUAACUUGAGCGGGUGUUUAAUAAAGUUCGCCUCAUUCGCGACUAAACGACCCUGUGCAUUGACUUGACUUUUUCGCCGCACAAGUUUCUGUAGAUCGUGGUUCCGUCUGGACCCUGGUCCUGCCACCUUGUUACGAUGGCCCUCGGCGGCUGGCCAUAGGAAGCAGCAUGACUGGAACAGCUUGAGUGCAUACCUCAAUCCUUUGGUAUCUCCCGGAAACAUAAAAUGGUGCUCAAUUUCAACGGUACGUCUUUAUAUACCUUGGAAAGGAGACACAGCAGGUAAGUGGUCUUCAUAUCAUCACCAUUCAUCCAAAAAUAUAUAAUAAGAAUUAAUGUUUUUAUCAACGGCUGGCCUGGCCUUCAACAUCUAUAAACAUCUAUACUAAACAAUCAAUUCAAUAAACAUUACAUCCACUGAGCACGUGUGGGAGUCCAAAAAGUCUUGUAAUGGUUCAUUACACUCCUGCCAUGGCCCUGCUACCACCUACCGCUUCUAACACCAUUAUUAUUCCCAAUACUAUUACUGUCAGCAUAAUGUGCUUUCUCGCCUCAUGGAUCAAGGUUCCGUCAGGACCCUGUUCCUGCCUCCUGCCAUGGCUCUGCUGACCACUGCUGCUGCUAUCAUUAUUAUUAUGAAUACGAAUCACAUUACCAUUGCUGUCAUCAUAAACCAACAUUUCCCACUUCGCUUUUUUCCUAAAGUCUCCUCCACAGGCUGCUGUGGAUGGUGGUUCUAUCUGAUGGUGGUUCAAUGUGAUGGUGGUUCUAUGUGAUGGUGGGUCUAUCUGCUGAUGGUUCAAUGUGAUGGUGGUUCUAUGUGAUGGUGGUUCUAUCUGAUGAUGGUUCAAUGUGAUGAUGGUUCAAUGUGAUGGUGUUUCUAUGUGAUGGUGGUUCUAUGUGAUGAUGGUUCAAUGUGAUGGUGGUUCUAUGUGAUGGUGGUUCUAUGUGAUGGUGCUCCUAUCUGAUGGUGGUUCAAUGUGAUGGUGGUUCUAUCUGAUGGUGGUUCAAUGUGAUGGUGGUUCUAUCUGAUGGUGGUUCCUUUACUGGCUUCCUCUUCACUGCCUGCCUGCUGGCCCCACCGUGGACUGAAAGCCUCAGCAUUCAGCCAGCACCCUCCUCUCCUAUGUGGAUUCUAACGCAGUAAGGACGACCGACGUCACCAUUUGAUUUAUCAUUCCUCUCAACAGUCUUGUCCUGUAUUUAGUGCAUCUCCUUUCCUGAGGUUCCUCCCUCCCCCCCC